rnacentral:rRNA from 1 species
UACGUAGGGUGCAAGCGUUAAUCGGAAUUACUGGGCGUAAAGCGUGCGCAGGCGGUGAUGUAAGUCAGGUGUGAAAUCCCCGGGCUUAACCUGGGAACUGCAUUUGAGACGGCAUCGCUGGAGUGCGGCAGAGGGGGAUGGAAUUCCGCGUGUAGCAGUGAAAUGCGUAGAUAUGCGGAGGAACACCGAUGGCGAAGGCAAUCCCCUGGGCCUGCACUGGCGCUCAUGCACGAAAGCGUGGGGAGCAAACAGG